rnacentral:lncRNA from 1 species
UGAAAGUAGCUCCUUGUGGAAAUACUACUAACCUUAUUUCUUAAUGAAUUAUACUCUCACUCAAAAAACCAUCAAACAAUGUAUAAUGCAAUCCCCACAAUUCCUAUACAUCCACUUGAGAAAAGCUGACUCUUAAUACUUUGUUAAACCCAAACUGAUUAAAAGCAGAGACCACAUAUCUUAUUGCCAGAAGACAUGGUUUAAAGACCUGUCUUUAUGCAGAUAGAAAGGUGACUAAGAGUCAUUUCCAGACUAAGGAGAGGAGAAAAAAAAUUCAUGGGCAUCAAAGUGCAUAUCCACACUAAAUCACAAAAGACUGUACAUGGGGCAAGUGAGCUUGAAACAGACUAAACAAGCAGUAGGUGAGAGGGAAGCAAUGGAUGGUUUCUACCUCUCCAUAUACUCCUUUCUUGGGAGGUUGUGUGAGGAAUAAACAAAAUAAUCAAUUUAGAAGAAAGGCAUC